CAGGCUUCUGCUACGUAUCUUGUAAAAUCUGAUGAUUUUUUUGACAACAUGGCCUGGCAGAAGUUAAGUUCAACAAGCUAAUGAAUACUUCUGAAUGACCUUCGUUGUGUCUUCCACUGACUUCUGGCACUGAGAUACAAAUUCAGAAAUAUGGAAAGAAUCCUUGGGGGGGGAUCUGGAUGGAAAAUCUCACUCGUUUUACAAAACCUUGCUGCUGAUUCCAGUUGUCCCUCUGCAUGGCUCACUCUUCUUGGCUGCUUUCAGCACAGAUUAGUGACCUUCAACCCUGACAAAUAUGUUGCCCUCGUGCUUUUAUGAUCUCCUAAUCUCUCAGAAGGUGACACAUUCUGAGAUUACAGCAAAUGCACUAGGAUCCCAGUGGGAGCACAGUACAGAUGCAGCUGUGAUGAAUGCCAAUUAAAACAGUAGCAGCAUGUGACAGCUGUUUACAAUUACAUUUAAUUAGCAAGUUUUAUACACUCUGUUAUCAGACACAUCUUUGAAGUACGCAGCAACAGUGGGCCCUGAACCUUUGAUCCCCUUACUCUGUGGAGUAGCCUUCUGCCAUGCAACUACUGCACGAAGGGCUUUAGCACAAAAACUUUGCUUGAUUUGUUAGUGUCUCCCUAAAAAAUUCCCCCUAAAGGACAAAAGAACCUGAACUUUUGGGGGAAGGGAGGGAAGGCAGUAAUUUGAGCACAGGACACUGCCCAAAGUAUCCUCACUUGGGAUAGUGGAACACAAUUUAUCUAGAGUGUUUCCUAUCCCAGUAAUAAAUGUUGAACCUUCUUUAUGAAAAGAGAAGCUAAACUCUGCAAGCAGACACAGGAUGUCUUCUCUCCUCCUUGCACCCCAGCAAAAGAAGAGCUGCUGCUCAGAGCCGGUUUCCUUUGCACGAAGCAGGUGGAGGCACGCCAGCUGCACCUAUCCCGCGCAAAUAAACACCAACGAGGGAUGCUGCCAGGCCCAGCCACCGAUGCUAUCAGGCUGGGAGAGCGGCCACUGGCAUGCUGGAGCCUGUGCUGUGCCAGCAGUCCUAUCCCUGGGUGGCUGCAGGCAUCCACCGGGAGCCCCUCUCCGGGUGGGAUCCGGACGGAUGUGGUCAAACGGCUGCACUUGGCCCUCAGGCUAAAGAACAGGCCCUGGCACCACUCACUGCAGCUCUCAUAAGCACAGCAAUUAACCUCAGCCUUAACUAGGUCGCUUGAGCAACAGCAGGUAGUCUGGGCUGCAGCACAGGCUGGGCAUCCAGAUAAAGCCUCAGGGCCCCAAGAGGCGUGUGCUGCCAGGAGGGUGUCUGUGCCACCAGGCUGUCACUCUGCUUCUUGUUUAAAUGAAGGUCUAUUUAGGUCACUAUUCUUACCUAAAUGAAGGUCUCACUGCUUGCUGGUAGUGAGUCCCCAAAACAAAGGUACCAUGGGAGCAGGUCCAGCACUGGGUGUCAGCAUGGAGCAGGAUGACCAGCCAUGUCCCCAGAGCACCUACUUCUAUACAUACCUGAAUCACCUUAAAGAAAGGAAAUAAAUGCUCAAAACUGACUUUCA
rnacentral:lncRNA from 1 species